rnacentral:rRNA from 1 species
UACGGGAGGCAGCAGUGGGGAAUAUUGCACAAUGGGCGCAAGCCUGAUGCAGCCAUGCCGCGUGUAUGAAGAAGGCCUUCGGGUUGUAAAGUACUUUCAGCGGGGAGGAAGGGAGUAAAGUUAAUACCUUUGCUCAUUGACGUUACCCGCAGAAGAAGCACCGGCUAACUCCGUG